rnacentral:rRNA from 1 species
GACGAACGCUGGCGGCGUGCUUAACACAUGCAAGUCGAACGGAAAGGCCCUGCUUUUGUGGGGUGCUCGAGUGGCGAACGGGUGAGUAACACGUGACUAACCUGCCCUUGACUUUGGGAUAACUUCAGGAAACUGGGGCUAAUACCGGAUAGGAGCUCCUGCUGCAUGGUGGGGGUUGGAAAGUUUCGGCGGUCGGGGAUGGACUCGCGGCUUAUCAGCUUGUUGGUGGGGUAGUGGCUUACCAAGGCUUUGACGGGUAGCCGGCCUGAGAGGGUGACCGGCCACAUUGGGACUGAGAUACGGACCAGACUCCUACGGGAGGCAGCAGUGGGGAAUAUUGCACAAUGGGCGGAAGCCUGAUGCAGCAACGCCGCGUGCGGGAUGACGGCCUUCGGGUUGUAAACCGCUUUCGCCUGUGACGAAGCGUGAGUGACGGUAAUGGGUAAAGAAGCACCGGCUAACUACGUG